CCGACCUCCUCCUGGCGAAUCGGAGCCGCUUUUUGGAUUUUGGGGCUGUGUAACAACCUCCCGUACGUGGUGAUGCUCAGCGCCGCCCGCGACCUGCUGGAGCCACGCCCCGGGGAAGAGCGGCAGAAUCGGAGCCGGCACGACUGCGACCCUGUGGGGACAGGGGUGGGUGGGGCUUAAGGGGGCGGGGCUUAAGUAGGCGGGGCUUAAAUUGGAG